rnacentral:rRNA from 1 species
UACAGAGACUGCAAGCGUUAUUCGGAUUCACUGGGCGUAAAGGGUGCGCAGGCGGCCGAGUGUGUGAGGCGUGAAAGCCCGGGGGCUUAACCCCGGAAUUGCACCUCAAACUACACGGCUAGAGCAUUGGAGAGGGUAGCAGAAUUCAUGGUGUAGCAGUGAAAUGCGUAGAUAUCAUGAGGAAUACCAGAGGCGAAGGCGGCUACCUGGACAAUUGCUGACGCUCAGGCACGAAAGCGUGGGGAGCAAAAGGG